rnacentral:rRNA from 1 species
CCUACGGGAGACAGCAGUGGGGGAUAUUGCACAAUGGGGGAAACCCUGAUGCAGCGACGCCGCGUGGGCGAAGAAGUAUUUCGGUAUGUAAAGCCCUAUCAGCAGGGACGACGAAAUGACGGUACCUGAGUAAGAAGCACCGGCUCAAUACGUGCCAGCAGCCGCGGUAUUACGUAUGGUGCAAGCGUUAACCGGAUUUACUGGGUGUAAAGGGAGCGCAGGCGGCACGGCACGCCUGAUGUGAAAGCCCGCGGACCAACCGCGGGAGUGCAUUGGGAACUACCGGGCUGGAGUGCCGGAGAGGUAGGCGGAAUUCCUAGUGUAGCGGUGAGAUGCGUAGAUAGUAGGAGGAACACCAGUGGCGAAGGCGGCCUACGGGACGGUGACUGACGCUGAGGCUCGAAAGCGUGGGGAGCAAACAGGAUUAGAUACCCGGGUAGUC